UUGCGCCGGUUACUUUGACGCUUGUACGGUUUGGGAGUGGCAUAGGUUAGUUGUCACAACAAGCGCGAAAGUUUGACAUGGAGCAUGUAAAAUCCCCGACCUCUGGGUUAUCACCCGUUUUAAACAAACGCUGAACAGAAGAGAGUCUGCUGGGAAAAAGAGAACACGUCAGAGCUCAUAUUAAAACCAGAAUCAACACUGGCUUUUCAGAGAUGGCGAGAACUGAGGUAUAUUAAAUGCUGUAAAAGCGACGCGGAGAUGGCGUUUUUAUUACUCAACAGACAGUCACUAUCAUUAAACAACUCUUUGGACAUUCUGGACAAGAAAGAAAGUCAUAUGAGUUUGGAACUUAUUAGGCUCAAUCUCUCAUUCUCACCCACAUCCUGCAACCUCUGGCUGGCCCGGGAUCUGCCAAUAUCCCACAUGGUACUUUUAAAAGAUGUCUGGAACAAGAAAAGUUUUAUAGAAGAUGGGCUAAAGAUGGUUGUGACUUCUCGACAUGGAGUAAGACUGAGCUCAUGAAUAUAA